rnacentral:tRNA from 1 species
AGCAGGUAUUUUAAUUAAAAUACUAGUUUUGGAGAUUAGAGAUAUCUUGAUUUUUGCUGAA